rnacentral:rRNA from 1 species
GUACGGGAGGCAGCAGUCGGGAAUUUUGGACAAUGGGGGAAACCCUGAUCCAGCGACGCCGCGUGCAGGAUGAAGUCCUUCGGGAUGUAAACUGCUGUCGGGUGGGACGAACGACUUCCGGGUCAAUAAUCCGGAGGAGUGACGGUACCACCGAAGGAAGCACCGGCUAACUCUGUGCCAGCAGCCGCGGUAAGACAGAGGGUGCAAGCGUUGUUCGGAAUUACUGGGCGUAAAGGGCGUGUAGGUGGUCAGGUAAGUCUGAUGUGAAAUCAUCAUCGCUUAACGAGAUGUCCGCAUCGGAUACUGUCUGACUUGAGUAUAGGAGAGGAUAACGGAAUUCCUGGUGUAGCGGUGGAAUGUGUAGAUAUCAGGAGGAACACCUGUGGCGAAGGCGGUUAUCUGGCCUAAUACUGACACUGAGGCGCGAAAGCUAGGGGAGCAAACGGGAUUAGAUACCCCGGUAGC